AACAGCAGAUUUUUCAGCCACCCUCGGCGUUUCAGAUUCAGUAGCUUUGGGGAUGGGGCUGAAACUGCAUUUCUGACAAGCUCAGAUGCUGCUGCUGCCGAACUUGAAACUUUGAGAACCACUUUGGGAACGACUGCCAGCAACAGAAACCGCAUGAAGUGUUGGGAAUACGAACAAAACUGCUAAGGCCGGCAGGGAGCCAAGGGGUCACCCAGGUGAAAGGAAGGGCAGAUGAGUUCCUCGCUGAGCUAAGGGGUCCUUCGCACCAAGACUGGGUCGCUCUGGCUGUAGAGGCGGACACCGCGGCCGACCUCCAUGAGCGGGACACAAGGAGAGAACUUUAUUUUGUCUCCUGUGGUUUAAUGGGAAUGUUUCUCAAGAAAGCACCUUUGAAGUGGGAAUCAAGAGGCCUCCUUUUUCUGUUUAAAGAGCUACCAGGACAACAGCAUUCAAAGGCAUUGCAAGAACCAAGAGAGGUCAGAAUCUGAGCUUCCAGUAGAAUCACCAAGAACUGAGUAACGUCUCUCAAAAUCGGGGGUGAUGGCUGUCGUGACAGUUGGAGCAAAACCAGUGUAUAUUCUCUUUCAUAUUUUUAAAGAAGCAGUAGACUAUAUCCCAGCGGUGACCUUAACUAGAUAACUAAUAUUCUUGGUGGUAAUAAUUGAACAUUCACAUGUGAAAUCUUGUAACUGUACUUUAUGUUUCUCUAUCCUACACUAUGACAGAAUGCAGAUUGAGCAUUCUUAACCCCCAAAAAAAUAUUGUCCCAGUCCCCAAUUUUUUGAGUGCACGAAGGAGAAAUUCCUCUGCUGACCUCAUGUGCUGGAUCUUACUCAAAACACAGGCACACUGAAGCUAUUUUAUAAAUUUGUGUCUUCAGGCUAUGAAUAUAAGGUAUACACGUGUAUGAAACAUAAAUGAACUUUAUAUUUAGACUUGAGUCUCAUACCUAAGCAACUCAUUACAUAUACAUAGAUAUUCUGAAAUAUAAAACACUUCUAGUCUCAAGCAUUUCAGAUAAGGGACAUUCAACUUAUACCACAAUUGUCAGGUGAUAAUAUUGCUACAGUGAAUUAUCUAAGAUAAAACAAGUUUUUUCGUAUUUUACAUUUAUGAGUUAAUUGGACCUUGAAUUAACUUAUGAAACUUACUGAAUUCACUAUUGAUUCAAAAUGAAUAUUGUAUAUUUUUCCUGAAUAACAUUUACCAUGUUUGCUCCCAGGAGCUAGUAGAGGAAAUAUUUCUUUAGGAAUAAUCAGGAAAAAUAAAGUAUGGCAUUUUUGUUUCAGAAGAAAAAUUAACUGAAGUAUUGAGUGGAAAUAAAGGAAAAAUGCAAGGUUUUCAGCUCAUAAUAUUAUUUGCUAGUCACGAGGACUUGGACAGACAAACCUAAACUUUAAUUUCCUCAUCAGAAAAGUAAUAGUAAUACCUAACUUGUUUUGUGCUGUGCAGUUGACAAAAUCUAUAAAAAGCAUUCUGUAAAUUAUGCAGUGCAAAAUAAUGUCUUUGUUUCUACUUUACCAAUACAAACCAUAGAGAGUUACAAAUAUUUAGUUUGGCUUGGUUAGCUCAGUUCCAGUCACUCAACCCUCUCACCCACUCCCCCUUCCCAGAAAAAAAAAAAAGUACCUUGAUUGCCUUUAUGCACACUCUUUAUGCACUUCUUAGCAUUUUUAUUGACUUAAACUAGCUCAAGUUAGUUGUGUGGAAACUCAUUUUAACAGUCUAGAAUAAAAUGAACUUCCUUCCCUUAUUUCUCUUUCAAUAAGAAAUUUUUAUAUAUAUGCCAUUUUGAAUACUUUUCACAAGACUUUUUGAAGAUUAUCCAUUUUUUUUUUUCCUUUAAGGUCUCUGUUUCUAAUCGCAAAAUGUCAUUUCCAUAACUGAACACACUUGUCAAAUUAAUUUAAUCAUCACAAAUUGUUCAUGAGAGUCUCAACCAAAACUGUGGCAUCUUCACAUUUCCUGAGGUUUCUGCUUAGGUUUUUAAAAUUGGUGUUUUAAACAAAGUACUAACUUCUCCAGCCUUUCUCCAUGUGAUAAGAAUGACUAUUUUAUUUAAAACUCUCCAAUAUAUAAUUCCUAACCAUAUUAAUGAUAUGAAAAGCAACAACAUUAUAUUAACAUGUAAGAUUUUUAUUCUGAAU